rnacentral:lncRNA from 1 species
UUACUAUUUAGUGCUCACAGAGGGUAGCAGUCAUGUAUUAGCUUGUGGUCCUUCAAGAUUGUAAGCUCCAUAUGAAGUUUGGGCUACAGCCUAUGGGCAUUACAAACUUAGUAUUAGAGCCUAAGUUUCUAAAUAGUCCUAGCGAAUCUAAAAGCUGCGUCAAGUAGAGUCUUAUGCAUGGGUGUGUAGCAUGCCACACUUAUGGAUAAGAGGCUACGAGGUAUU